rnacentral:rRNA from 11 species
ACAGGGUGACAGCCCCGUACACAAAAAUGCACAUAUUGUGAGCUCGAUGAGUAGGGCGGGACACGUGGUAUCCUGUCUGAAUAUGGGGGGACCAUCCUCCAAGGCUAAAUACUCCUGACUGACCGAUAGUGAACCAGUACCGUGAGGGAAAGGCGAAAAGAACCCCGGCGAGGGGAGUGAAAAAGAACCUGAAACCGUGUACGUACAAGCAGUGGGAGCCUCUUUUAUGGGGUGACUGCGUACCUUUUGUAUAAUGGGUCAGCGACUUAUAUUCUGUAGCAAGGUUAACCGAAUAGGGGAGCCGAAGGGAAACCGAGUCUUAACUGGGCGUUAAGUUGCAGGGUAUAGACCCGAAACCCGGUGAUCUAGCCAUGGGCAGGUUGAAGGUUGGGUAACACUAACUGGAGGACCGAACCGACUAAUGUUGAAAAAUUAGCGGAUGACUUGUGGCUGGGGGUGAAAGGCCAAUCAAACCGGGAGAUAGCUGGUUCUCCCCGAAAGCU